rnacentral:rRNA from 1 species
GACGAACGCUGGCGGCGUGCCUAACACAUGCAAGUGGAGCGACGAACCGGGCUUCGGCCCGGGGCCAAGCCGCGAACGGGUGAGUAACACGUGGGUAACCUGCCCUGAUGAUUGGGACAACCCGAGGAAACUCGGGCUAAUACCGAAUGUGCCCUCCGACCAUAAGGUCUGCGGGGAAAGGAAGCUUCGGCCUCCGCAUCGGGAUGGGCCCGCGGCGCAUUAGCUUGUUGGUGAGGUAACGGCUCACCAAGGCGACGAUGCGUAGCUGGUCUGAGAGGACGAUCAGCCACACUGGGACUGAGACACGGCCCAGACUCCUACGGGAGGGCAGCAGUGGGGAAUCUUGCGCAAUGCGCGAAAGCGUGACGCAGC